ensembl:lncRNA
GAAAGUAUGAUACCGAGAGCUGGGCCACGGGGAUGAUCUCAUCCCUAUUGGAAACCUUCCCUCACCUGCUCCUACACCUGCCUGGCCCGCAUGAAAUCACAGGGUCAAGGGGUAAGAUAGCAGGUAGGUGGCGAUUUCAAUCUCAGUCUUCAGCUGUGACCCUCCUGGUUUAGUCGGGUCCUCACAUGGCUCAAACGGCUCUGUCCCAUACGGUGGAUUCCAGGUACCAUACACAUUCAUCACAGACUGACGCCGUUCCAGGUCCACCUGUGAACGUGGCUGUCCGUGCAUGAGCCAAACCUGCGGAGGUGAGCAGCUCCUCCCCUCUCCGCUUCUGCUGUUUCUACUCCCCACCGAGGCUGCUGCCCGGCCUCUGGUCUCCAGGUGCAGUACCCACCACCCCUUCCCACCUGGAGGGUGGCCCAUUUCUUCUCUUGUUUUGAAAGAGCCACUACACCCUUCCUCAGAGAUGCAAAGGGAUGGGUGCUGCUCAGCCCUUGCUCUCAGAGGCAGGAAGGGAUCUGCUGAUGACAACUCACCACCCAGCCUGAGUAACUCACUGAAUGUGCAGCAUUUAGGGCACAUUCAGUGCCAGCCCAGAGGCCUUGGGAAUCCCUGCCCGAGGUUGACUCUCUGUCCUUGGACGUGGUUCCUGGAUGGCAAGAAAAGCUGGGGGUGCCAUUCAGAGAUUGUACAGGCAGUCAUCCCCCAAGACCUAUCUUCCUCACAGCCUCCUCUCUGGUCUGCUGGCAGCAAAGGACACCCAACAUGUUACCCGCCUCCAUCACACCUCUGUGGUCCACCCCAUUCUCCAACCCCCAGGGAUUCCCAAGGUGCCUCUUCACAGACAGUUCAAGCCGUCUGCCCUAGCCCCAGCCAACAAGGCCAACCUGUGUCAUCCGAGAGACAGACACCCUGCUUCCCCCAGCUACCUUUAAUCAGUGCUACCGGAACUUUUGAAAGACCUAUUGUUGUUCCCAAAUGGCUUGUUUUAUCUCUGAACAUUUCUAUAUUUCAACCUGGGAUUAUAAUCCCUUCCUUCUCUGAUUAUUUCAAAAGAAAAUGUUCCCAACCAACAGACCAGUGAAUGACGAAAUGAAUUUCUAGUCACACAGGCAUUUGUAUUUUGGGCUUCCCUGGUGGCUCAGCUGGUAAAGAAUCCACCUGCAAUGUGCGAGACCUGGGUUCAAUCCCUGGGUUGGGAAGAUCCCCUGGAGAAGGGAAAGGCUACCCAUUCCAGUAUUCUGGCCUGGAGAAUUCCAUGGACUCUAUAAUGCAUGGGGUCACAAAGAGUCGGACAGGACUGAGCGACUUUCACUUUCACAGAGAAGCCUGGCAUGCUGCAGUCCAUUGGGUUGCAAAGAGUCGGACACGACCUAGUGACUGAAAAACAACUGCCAUUUAUGAAGUUGACUUUCUGCUCUAGAAAAAUACCUGAAUGUGGAAAUAAUAUAUUACAGUC